rnacentral:lncRNA from 1 species
GAGUACUUGAAUGAGAUUUUAGCAGAGUUUUGAGAUAGUGUUUAGAGCUUAGAGGAGAACGUAUCUGGGGGGUCUCUUUUAUAGAUGGGAGAGCGUAACCGAUUAACAGCGACGUCCGUAACUGCCUAGUAGUGGGUCGUUCGGGGUCACGUGGAGUUUGUUAUGGAGAGUAGUGGUGUCCGUUGUCGUGACUUGCCGGA